CCUACGGGGGGCUGCAGUGGGGAAUAUUGGACAAUGGGGGCAACCCUGAUCCAGCCAUGCCGAGUGUGUGAAGAAGGCCCUCGGGUUGUAAAGCACUUUCAGUGAGGAAGAACGCCUGGUGGUUAAUACCCAUCAGGAAAGACAUCACUCACAGAAGAAGCACCGGCUAACUCCGUGCCAGCAGCCGCGGUAAUACGGAGGGUGCGAGCGUUAAUCGGAAUUACUGGGCGUAAAGCGCGCGUAGGUGGCUUGAUAAGCCGGUUGUGAAAGCCCCGGGCUCAACCUGGGAACGGCAUCCGGAACUGUCAAGCUAGAGUGCAGGAGAGGAAGGUAGAAUUCCCGGUGUAGCGGUGAAAUGCGUAGAGAUCGGGAGGAAUACCAGUGGCGAAGGCGGCCUUCUGGACUGACACUGACACUGAGGUGCGAAAGCGUGGGUAGCAAACAGGAUUAGAUACCCGUGUAGUC
rnacentral:rRNA from 1 species